UACAAAUUUGGGAGCAUAUGGAUGGUAUGUAAGGCCAUAAGACAUUGAGAUCUCCAAGGGAGUGAGUGUAGGUAGAAGAGGUUCAUGUUCCAAGUCCUGAAGCUCCCCAACAUCGACAGGUCAGGGAUAUGAAGAGGAAUCAGGGAAGGAGGGGUGCUGUCAGGGUGUUACGAUGGUACCCACUUUCAUGGCAAACAGGGAAAGGACACAGGGUCCGUGGGUGGAAGGCUUAAGCACCAACUCCCUAGCCCGUUGGUUUAGAUGAUCCAAUGGGGGUGGAAGUGGGGGAUUGGAUGCCAAGCAGGUGGGUUUAAAACAGUUCCUGAUCACAUACACAGAACUCUAAGUGGGCUACAUGCUUCACCUAGUUCACCCACUUCCCAGCCAGUGGGAGCCCUGGACAAAUCUUACAGCUCAGGGCAGCUUUUUCCAGCCUAUACCCACACUCCUCCAAGGAGCCCACACGGACUUCAUGCUUCCUGGUUUGACCAUAUCCACACCUCAGGAAUCACAGACCUUGGAUAGUGGGUCAUAGCUGUUGGGACAGGGAAGGGAGCAGCUGUGCCUGGGAAGUCAACCAAGUCCAUGGUAGGGGAGUUAAUGAUUGUGGGGAGACGACCUCGACUAGAUGCUUAGUGUUUGUUGAAUGAAUGAAUGUGUGUAUCCCAAGCUGUGUGCCUGGAGCUGUGCUUGACUGAUGUGCUUGUCGUGUGUGUGUGUGUGUGUGUGUGUGUGUGUGUGUAUGUAUGUGUGUACCUGAGGUGCCCAUCCUGUGUGUGGGCCUCCCCACGCCUACCUCGCGCAGUUAGUGGUGCAUGUGGCUGUGUGUCUCCUCUCCCAGGCCUGCAGAGGGCGCCCCAGCCUGGGAAGGGAGGCUCUCGAGUGGGGCGGGGCUCUGGAGGAGAGGUGUAGGGAAGCUGUGGUUGGCUGGGGGUAUUAUAGCAGGGGCGGGGGCGGGGAGGCCCUGACCCAGGGGGCUCCUCAGAGAGUCCGGGAAGGGCGUUGGCCCAAAGUUCCUGGGCCGGCGCCGACUUCUGGUGCUCUCCUUGCUCCAGGCACCCGUGGGCUCCCGAAGCCGGAGGUCCCGGACAAUGGGCCGGAUACGUGGAGGGGAGACUUGGACUGUAAGUGGGACCACACCCCCGGGGGCCUGGGGCCAGCGUGGGCCUCAGAUGCCCCCCCGGGUGGCCAUUACCCCAGGUUUAGAACAACGGCCCUCCCCCCAAAUCCCCGCCACUCAGGCCCCCGAACUCGUCUGUACACAGCUCGCUGGCAGAGACGCGUGGGCGGGCGAAGGCCUGUGUUUGUCUACAAAUAUUUAUCUCCCUCACUCCCACUCCAACAUACCCUGAGUCCAAGGCACUAACGUAGAAGACGAAAUAAUGUUUGCCUUAAAGGCUAAAGGAAGUUCACAUCACCUCUGGCACUUCCUUCACAGAAUAACCUGCACCCGAUUGAUUCCUUACACCGCAUAAUUACGGUGCUAACCCUAAAAAAGGGUUUCUUUGUUCAGUGAAGGUUUAUUGAGAGCCUAACUGUGCCGGCGUGAGGCUCGGCGCCAGAGGAUGAAGGCCUUUAACAUGGAUAUGAGCGGAAAAGGAAUUUAUACUAUUCGUCAUUGGACACAGGAAAACGCCAGACCUCUGGCCUAUCAUGAGACACAUUUGAGGACAAGUAAUAAAAAAAAAAUCUUUCUGGUCCCAGAAAGAUAAAGGAAAUGAAAACAAAAUUCAACCCACAAACCUGCUGUUUGCGUGUAGCCGACCGAGGACCGCGGUGACGAUGCUGCCUCCUGGUGGCGGAACGGGGCAACGCAGUUGUCACAGUCAAGUGGAGUUUCACAGGGUGGGAGUGGUGGUGGCAGUGACGGCGUGGAUUCUGAACCGAAAUUGGCUCUGGCUGCCCAGGUGGUCAAUAGUGGAGUUUCGUUCUCUUAAUAUUAGAUUGAAAUUUAUUAUGACCACAGUUCCAUAGCUCUAAAGCGAAAGUCUUCAAGAACAUGGCAUCAGAGUUUCCCUGGGGUGUUUUGGUUUGUCACCACCGAGAAAGGGAUGUCCUGAAGAAAACAAAGUCUUCAGCUUCUUUUCAUAGCUAAUACAUUCUCUGCAGGUGGAACUGUAAACACCAAUAGAAGAAUUAAAAAUAUAGGUGUUAGAAAAAGACGCUUGGCAACUUAAGCAUUUAUGAAAAUGGUAACUCAUUGGUCAAGACUGAUGCCAAAGGAUAGAAGCAUUGAUGAAUUUCAUAAAACAACACAGCAUCAUUUUGACCCAAAAUACAAGGAAAAAUAGCACCUGGAUGUGGGAAAGAGAAAGAACUUCACAAAAGAGGCCAGUGAAGCUGAAGGCGUUUUCACAGGCACACAAAGAAGGAAGAGAAAAAUGACACGCUAUUAAGAGACAAAGCAAUUAACAGAACCAGACUCAUAUAUGAUACAGAUAUUGGAAUUAUCAUAUGGGGAUAUUAAAGGAACUAUGAUUAAUGUUAAAGGAUCUAGUAGAAAAGGUGAAUAGCUUUCAUGAUAGAAUGGGUAAUUUCAUCAGGGAGAUGGAAACUCUAAAGAAUCAAAUGGAAAUGCUAGAAAUAGAAAACACGGUAACACAGAUAAAGAUUUCUUUUGUCUGGCUCAUCAGUAGUCUUGACCCAGAGGAGUAAAGAAUCUGUGAAAGAUAAUUAUCUGUGAAGAUAAUUCAAUAGAAAUAUCCAAACUUAAACACAAAGAAAAAAGUGGGAAAGAAACCCCACAAUAGAAAAGAGUGUCCAAGAUCUGUGGGACAACAUCAAACAACCUAACAUAUGUACAAGAAGAGAGAGAAAUGGGACAGAAGAAAUAUUUUAAGAAAUAAUGGCCAAGAAUUUUUCAAAAUUAAUAACAUACCAAGUCACAAAUCUGGGACGAUCAGAGAAUACUAAUCAGGAUAAACAUCUAGGAACUCAUCUAGACGUAUCAUAUAUGAGUUUCUAAGAACUAAAGACAAAGAGAAGAUCUUGAAAAGAGAAACAUUACAUAAAGAGGAACAAAGAUAAGAAAAUCACAGACUACUAACCAAAAACUAUGUCAGCUAGAAGAUAGUGAAGUGACAUCUUCAAAAUGCUGGAAGAAAAAAAAAAAGUCAACCUAGAAUUCUACACCAAGCAAGCAAGCAAGCAA